rnacentral:lncRNA from 1 species
CCACCCGGACACGGCUGCACGGCAUACGUGCCCGCCAUAGUCCAGUUCCAGUUCAACCCUCGCGCGCUGACUUGUGGGCAGAAUACUCGCCGACCGAUGUUGGGGGUUGCUAUCGUUGCUGGGGAGGGCAUUUACAGAUGUCAAUCCUCCUUGCGCCCAUCCUGCACCGAGCAGGCUGGCAAGAAGAAGAAGUUAAGACGUCGACUGCGAUGACAGACCUUCAGAAUUGACAUGAUUUCCAAAUUAUCUUCAAUGCUGUAUUUUUAAUAACUUCGUUUAGAUAUCGUUAAAUCAUUUAUAAAAGUAAUGUUUGUAAGCAAUAAAACUUGCACGGUUGUAUGUCUAUGAA